rnacentral:rRNA from 1 species
AUCGUAGAUCAGCAUGCUACGGUGAAUACGUUCCCGGGUCUUGUACACACCGCCCGUCACACCACGAGAGUUUGUAACACCCGAAGCCGGUGGAGUAACCAUUUGGAGCUAGCCGUCGAAGGUGGGACAAAUGAUUGGGGUGAAGUCGUAACAAGGUAGCCGUAUCGGAAGGUGCGGCUGGAUCACCUCCUUU